GUCCAGACUCCUACGGGAGGCAGCAGUGGGGGAUAUUGCACAAUGGGGGAAACCCUGAUGCAGCGACGCCGCGUGGGUGAAGAAGUAUUUCGGUAUGUAAAGCCCUAUCAGCAGGGAAGAAAGAAGACGGUACCUGACUAAGAAGCCCCGACUAACUACGUGCCAGCAGCCGCGGUAAUACGUAGGGGGCGAGCGUUAUCCGGAUUCACUGGGUGUAAAGGGAGCGUAGACGGCCGUGCAAGCCAGGAGUGAAAGCCCGGGGCCCAACCCCGGGACUGCUCUUGGAACUGUGCGGCUGGAGUGCGGGAGGGGCAGGCGGAAUUCCUGGUGUAGCGGUGAAAUGCGUAGAUAUCAGGAGGAACACCGGUGGCGAAGGCGGCCUGCUGGACUGCAACUGACGUUGAGGCCCGAAAGCGUGGGGAGCAAACAGGAUUAGAUACCCGCGUA
rnacentral:rRNA from 1 species